UACGUAGGGUGCGAGCGUUGUCCGGAAUUACUGGGCGUAAAGCGCGCGCAGGCGGUCUUCCAAGUCAGUGGUGAAAGCCCGGAGCUCAACUCCGGAACUGCCAUUGAAACUGUUAGACUUGAGGACGAGAGAGGUGAGUGGAAUUCCCAGUGUAGAGGUGAAAUUCGUAGAUAUUGGGAAGAACACCGGUGGCGAAGGCGGCUCACUGGCUCGUUUCUGACGCUCAGGCGCGACAGCGUGGGGAUCAAACAGG
rnacentral:rRNA from 1 species